CACGGGGGGAGCAAGCGUUGUUCGGAAUCACUGGGCGUAAAGGGCGUGUAGGCGGUCAAGUAAGUGGAAUGUGAAAGCCCCCGGCUUACCCGGGGAUCUGCAUCCCAAACUGCUUGGCUUGAGUACGGGAGAGGAUAGGGGAAUUCCUGGUGUAGCGGUGAAAUGCGUAGAUAUCAGGAAGAACACCAAUGGCGAAGGCAGCUCUCUGGGACGGUACUGACGCUGAGACGCGAAAGCGUGGGGAGCGAACAGG
rnacentral:rRNA from 1 species